ACUCCAAAACAGAGCACAGCGGGACUACACAUGCUCGUAGUCCCGCGGGGUUCCUUUUUCGAGU
rnacentral:pre_miRNA from 1 species